AUGAACGCUGGCGGCGUGCCUAAUACCUGCAAGUCGCGCGAACAGACGAGGAGCUUGCUCCUCUGACGUUAGCGGCGGACGGGUGAGUAACACGUGGAUAACCUACCUAUAAGACUGGGAUAACUUCGGGAAACCGGAGCUAAUACCGGAUAAUAUAUUGAACCGCAUGGUUCAAUAGUGAAAGACGGUUUUGCUGUCACUUAUAGAUGGAUCCGCGCCGCAUUAGCUAGUUGGUAAGGUAACGGCUUACCAAGGCAACGAUGCGUAGCCGACCUGAGAGGGUGAUCGGCCACACUGGAACUGAGACACGGUCCAGACUCCUACGGGAGGCAGCAGUAGGGAAUCUUCCGCAAAGGGCGAAAGCCUGACGGAGCAACGCCGCGUGAGUGAUGAAGGUCUUCGGAUCGUAAAACUCUGUUAUUAGGGAAGAACAAAUGUGUAAGUAACUAUGCACGUCUUGACGGUACCUAAUCAGAAAGCCACGGCUAACUACGUG
rnacentral:rRNA from 1 species